rnacentral:rRNA from 1 species
UUAUGGCUCAGGAUGAACGCUAGCGGCAGGCUUAACACAUGCAAGUCGAGGGGCAUCGGGAGUAGCAAUACUUGCCGGCGACCGGCGCAAGGGUGCGUAACGCGUGAGCAACAUGCCCGUAUCAGGGGGAUAAUCCAUGGAAACGUGGUCUAAUACCCCAUAGUAAUUAUGUAAGGCAUCUUAUAUAAUUUAAAGCUUUGGUGGAUACGGAUUGGCUCGCGUGACAUUAGCUGGAUGGUAAGGUAACGGCUUACCAUGGCUACGAUGUCUAGGGGUUCUGAGAGGAAGGUCCCCUACACUGGAACUGAGACACGGUCCAGACUCCUACGGGAGGCAGCAGUGAGGAAUAUUGGACAAUGGAUGGAAAUCUGAUCCAGCCAUGCCGCGUGCAAGGAAGACGGCCCUAUGGGUUGUAAACUGCUUUUGUAUGGGAGCAAUAAGGGCUACGUGUAGUCCGAUGAGAGUACCAUACGAAUAAGCACCGGCUAACUCCGUGCCAGCAGCCGC